CCUACGGGGGGCAGCAGUGGGGGAUAUUGCACAAUGGGGGAAACCCUGAUGCAGCGACGCCGCGUGAGUGAAGAAGUAUUUCGGUAUGUAAAGCUCUAUCAGCAGGGAAGAAAAUGACGGUACCUGACCAAGAAGCCCCGGCUAACUACGUGCCAGCAGCCGCGGUAAUACGUAGGGGGCAAGCGUUAUCCGGAUUUACUGGGUGUAAAGGGAGCGUAGACGGCCAUAUAAGUCAGAAGUGAAAGCCCAGGGCGCAACCCUGGGACUGCUUUUGAAACUGGCGGGCUGGAGUGCAGGAGAGGUAAGCGGAAGUCCUGGUGUAGCGGUGAAAUGCGUAGAUAUUAGGAGGAACACCAGUGGCGAAGGCGGCUUACUGGACUGUAACUGACGUUGAGGCUCGAAAGCGUGGGGAGCAAACAGGAUUAGAUACCCUUGUAGUC
rnacentral:rRNA from 1 species